GCCUGGGUGGCUCAGUCGGCUGAGCGUCCGACUUCAGCUCAGGUCCGGAUCUCGCAGUCCGUGAGUUCGAGCCCCACGCCGGGCU
rnacentral:tRNA from 1 species